rnacentral:rRNA from 1 species
CAACGCCGCGUGGGGGAUGAAAGGCUUUUCCGGAGUUGUAAACCCCUUUCGGACCCGGAAGUAAAGCCCGCAAGGGUUUGACGGUACGGGUAUAAGGAAGCCCGGCUAACUACGUGC